GGUGAGUAACACGUAGGCAACCUGCCUGUAAGACUGGGAUAACUCGCGGAAACGCGAGCUAAUACCGGAUAAUACUUAUCAUCUCCUGAUGGUAAGUUGAAAGGCGGCUUUUGCUGUCACUUACAGAUGGGCCUGCGGCGCAUUAGCUAGUUGGUGGGGUAACGGCUCACCAAGGCGACGAUGCGUAGCCGACCUGAGAGGGUGAUCGGCCACACUGGGACUGAGACACGGCCCAGACUCCUACGGGAGGCAGCAGUAGGGAAUCUUCCGCAAUGGACGAAAGUCUGACGGAGCAACGCCGCGUGAGUGAUGAAGGUUUUCGGAUCGUAAAACUCUGUUGUCGGGGAAGAACAAGUAUGAUAGUAACUGAUCGUACCUUGACGGUACCCGACCAGAAAGCCACGGCUAACUACGUGCCAGCAGCCGCGGUAAUACGUAGGUGGCAAGCGUUGUCCGGAAUUAUUAGGCGUAAAGCGCUCGCAGGCGGNUCUUUAAGUCUGAUGUGAAAUCUUGCGGCUCANCCGUAAACGUGCAUUGGAAACUGGAGGACUUGAGUGCAGAAGAGGAGAGUGGAAUUCCACGUGUAGCGGUGAAAUGCGUAGAGAUGUGGAGGAACACNAGUGGCGAANGCGACUCUCUGGUCUGUAACUGACGCUGAGGAGCGAANGCGUGGGGAGCGAACAGGAUUAGAUACCCUGNNAGUCCACGCC
rnacentral:rRNA from 1 species